GACGAACGCUGGCGGCGUGCUUAACACAUGCAAGUCGAACGGAAAGGCCCUGCUUUUGUUGGUUUCUCGAGUGGCGAACGGGUGAGUAACACGUGAGUAACCUGCCCAUGACUUUGGGAUAACUUCAGGAAACUGGGGCUCAUACCGGAUAUGAGCUCCUGCUGCAUGUUGGUGGUUGGAAAGUUUCGGCGGUUGGGGAUGGACUCGCGGCUUAUCCGCUUGUUGGUGUGGUAGUUGCUUUCCAAGGCUUUGACGGGUAGCCGGCCUGAGAGGGUUACCGGCGACAUGGGGACUGAGAGACGGACCAGAAGCCUACGGGAGGCAGCAGUGGGGAAUAUUGCGGAAUGGGGGGAAGCCAGAUGCAGCAACGCCGCGUGCGGGAUAACGGGCUUCGGGUGGUAAACAGAUGUCGCCUGUGACGAAGAGUGAGUGACGGUAAUGGGUAAAGAAGCAACGGCUAACUACGUG
rnacentral:rRNA from 1 species